rnacentral:rRNA from 1 species
GCAGGCGCGAAACCUUUACACUGUACGCAAGUGCGAUAAGGGGACUCCGAGUGUGAAGGCAUAGAGCCUUCACUUUUGUACACCGUAAGGUGGUGUACGAAUAAGGGCUGGGCAAGACCGGUGCCAGCCGCCGCGGUAGUACCGGCAGCCCGAGUGAUGGCCGAUAUUAUUGGGCCUAAAGCGUCCGUAGCUGGCCGGACAAGUCCGUUGGGAAAUCUGUUCGCUUAACGAGCAGGCGUCCAGCGGAAACUGUUCGGCUUGGGACCGGAAGACCUGAGGGGUACGUCCGGGGUAGGAGUGAAAUCCUGCAAUCCUGGACGGACCACCGGUGGCGAAAGCGCCUCAGGAGGACGGAUCCGACAGUGAGGGACGAAAGCUAGGGUCUCGAACCGGAUUAGAUACCCGGGUAGUCCUAGCUGUAAACGAUGCCCGCUAGGUGUGGCGCAGGCUACGAGCCUGCGCUGUGCCGUAGGGAAGCCGAGAAGCGGGCCGCCUGGGAAGUACGUCUGCAAGGAUGAAACUUAAAGGAAUUGGCGGGGGAGCACUACAACCGGAGGAGCCUGCGGUUUAAUUGGAUUCAACGCCGG